rnacentral:rRNA from 1 species
AUUGAACGCUGGCGGCAUGCUUUACACAUGCAAGUCGAACGGUAACAGGCCGCAAGGUGCUGACGAGUGGCGAACGGGUGAGUAAUGCAUCGGAACGUGCCCAGUCGUGGGGGAUAACGCAGCGAAAGCUGUGCUAAUACCGCAUACGAUCUAUGGAUGAAAGCGGGGGACCGUACGGCCUCGCGCGAUUGGAGCGGCCGGUGUCAGAUUAGGUAGUUGGUGGGGUAAAGGCCUACCAAGCCGACGAUCUGUAGCUGGUCUGAGAGGACGACCAGCAAGACUGGGACUGAGACACGGCCCAGACUCCUACGGGAGGCAGCAGUGGGGAAUUUUGGACAAUGGGCGCAAGCCUGAUCCAGCAAUGCAGCGGGCAGGAAGAAGGCCUUCGGGUUGUAAACUGCUUUUGUACGGAACGAAACGGUCUGGGUUAAUACCCUGGGCUAAUGACGGUACCGUAAGAAUAAGCACCGGCUAACUACGUGCCAGCAGCCGCGGUAACAC